CCUACGGGAGGCUGCAGUGGGGAAUAUUGCACAAUGGGGGAAACCCUGAUGCAGCGACGCCGCGUGAGUGAAGACGUAUUUCGGUAUGUAAAGCUCUAUCUGCAGGGAAGAAAAUGACGGUACCUGUUUAAGAAGCCCCGGCUAACUACGUGCCAGCAGCCGCGGUAAUACGUGGGGGGCAAGCGUUAUCCGGAUUUACUGGGUGUAAAGGGAGCGUAGACGGCAGCACAAGUCUGGAGUGAAAUGCCGGGGCUUAACCCCGGAACUGCUUUUGAAACUGUGCAGCUAGAGUGCAGGAGAGGUAGGUGGAAUUCAUAGUGUAGCGGUGAAAUGCGUAGAGAUUAGGAGGAACACCAGUGGCGAAGGCGGCUUACUGGACUGUAACUGACGUUGAGGCUCGAAAGCGUGGGGAGCAAACAGGAUUAGAUACCCCUGUAGUC
rnacentral:rRNA from 1 species